rnacentral:rRNA from 1 species
UACGUAGGGUCCGAGCGUUGUCCGGAAUUACUGGGCGUAAAGCGUGCGCAGGCGGCUUUCCAAGCGCCACGUGAAAGCCCCGGGCUCAACCCGGGAGGGUCGUGGCGAACUGGGAGGCUUGAGGCCGGUAGAGGUGGGUGGAACUCCUGGUGGAGUGGUGAAAUGCGUAGAGAUCCGGAGGAACACCAAAGGCGAAGGCAGUGUCCUGGGGAGUACCUGACGCUCAGGUGCGAAAGCCAGGGGAGCGAACGGG